UCGAGAAUCAUUCACAAUGGGGGAAACCCUGAUGGUGCGACGCCGCGUGGGGGAAUGAAGGUCUUCGGAUUGUAAACCCCUGUCAUGUGGGAGCAAAUUAAAAAGAUAGUACCACAAGAGGAAGAGACGGCUAACUCUGUGCCAGCAGCCGCGGUAAUACAGAGGUCUCAAGCGUUGUUCGGAAUCACUGGGCGUAAAGCGUGCGUAGGCUGUUUCGUAAGUCGUGUGUGAAAGGCGCGGGCUCAACCCGCGGACGGCACAUGAUACUGCGAGACUAGAGUAAUGGAGGGGGAACCGGAAUUCUCGGUGUAGCAGUGAAAUGCGUAGAUAUCGAGAGGAACACUCGUGGCGAAGGCGGGUUCCUGGACAUUAACUGACGCUGAGGCACGAAGGCCAGGGGAGCGAAAGGGAUUAGAUACCCCUGUAGUCCUGGCAGUAAACGGUGCACGCUUGGUGUGCGGGGAAUCGACCCCCUGCGUGCCGGAGCUAACGCGUUAAGCGUGCCGCCUGGGGAGUACGGUCGCAAGAUUAAAACUCAAAGAAAUUGACGGGGACCCGCACAAGCGGUGGAGUAUGUGGCUUAAUUCGAUGCAACGCGAAGAACCUUACCUGGGCUUGACAUGUAAUGAACAACAUGUGAAAGCAUGCGACUCUUCGGAGGCGUUACACAGGUGCUGCAUGGCCGUCGUCAGCUCGUGUCGUGAGAUGUUUGGUUAAGUCCAGCAACGAGCGCAACCCCUGUUGCCAGUUACCAGCACGUGAAGGUGGGGACUCUGGCGAGACUGCCCAGAUCAACUGGGAGGAAGGUGGGGACGACGUCAGGUCAGUAUGGCCCUUAUGCCCAGGGCUGCACACGUACUACAAUGCCCAGUACAGAGGGGGCCGAAGCCGCGAGGCGGAGGAAAUCCUGAAAACUGGGCCCAGUUCGGACUGUAGGCUGCAACCCGCCUACACGAAGCCGGAAUCGCUAGUAAUGGCGCAUCAGCUACGGCGCCGUGAAUACGUUCCCGGGUCUUGUACACACCGCCCGUCACA
rnacentral:rRNA from 1 species